UACGUAGGGUGCAAGCGUUAUCCGGAAUUAUUGGGCGUAAGAGCUCGUAGGCGGUUUGUCGCGUCUGCUGUGAAAACGACGAGGCUCAACCUCGCGCCUGCAGUGGGUACGGGCAGACGUAGAGGUGCGGUAGGGGAGAUUGGAAUACCUGGGUGUAGCGGUGAAAUGCGCAGAUAUCGAGGAUGGAACACCGGUGGCGAAGGCGGUGGUGCUGG
rnacentral:rRNA from 1 species